rnacentral:tRNA from 1 species
GGGCAUGUAGCUCAGUGGUAGAGCAUGCGCCUUAUAAGCGCAGGGUCGCAGGUCCGAUCCCUGCCAUGCCCACCA